UACAGAGGUGGCAAGCGUUGUUCGGAAUUACUGGGCGUAAAGGGCGCGUAGGCGGCUAUCUAAGUCAGACGUGAAAUCCCCCGGCUUAACCUGGGAACUGCGUCUGAUACUGGACGGCUUGAGUAUGGGAGAGGGAUGCGGAAUUCCAGGUGUAGCGGUGAAAUGCGUAGAUAUCAGGAGGAACACCGAUGGCGAAGGCAGCUCGCUGGGACGGUACUGACGCUGAGGCGCGAAAGCGUGGGGAGCGAACAGG
rnacentral:rRNA from 1 species